AGGGUCUGUGAUAGUCUAUCAAGAAAAGCUCUGAUGGGACGGGGGGCUUUGCCCCCCACAAUGAAAGGGAGCAGAAAAGGGAGCAAAGUCCCACACAAUACCCCAAACAGAUCUUUUUAUCGUUACCGUUAAAAUAACUGCCUCAUCACCCCAAAAGGGGGGAAACUUAAAACAGGAGGCAAUGCUACCAGGGGAGCACAGAACUUUUUUCUGUCAAAAUGGUAGCUCUGUACGAAAGGGGAAAAAUAGAAAAUAAAAACGCAAAAGAUUUCAAAGAGAAGGACUAGAAGAGACACCAGGAGAAAAUGAAAAGAGGACGAUGAAAAUGGAAACCGGUCAGUUAAGAGAGGAAUCUAGACGAUUCAAAGCAGAAAAAACUACAAGUAAUUCACCAGUGCAGACGACUAACGUUGGUUAGGGGGCAGAUGAGGUGAACCGAAAAGCAGCAAGUGGAAAACAGGCCCGUGACAGGAAAAGUGGGAAGGAUUAGCCGGCCCUGCAAAAACCCUUCAAAACAAGAGGAUUGAGCAGCGGAGAAACCAUGGCAGCCUUUCUUAUAGCCGGCUGCUCAUGGCUUGCGGACAAUGACGGCUCUUCAAAUCUCCUGCUGCCACAGACCAAACCAUCAUAAGAUUGAGCAGCGGAGAAACCGCGGCAGCCUUUCUUAUAGUCAGCUGCUCACAGCUCGCGGCCAAUGACAGCUCUUCAAAUCUCCAGCCACCACAGACCAACCCAUCAUAAGUAAAAGUAUGCAAAUAUAUAACAGCUUGUGUGGGUAUUUCAGACAGAACUGGUGAAGUUGUAGUGCAUAAUAUGCUUUGCCAUUUUGUAAAAUUGUAUCCAGAUAGCCCAUCAAAUGAAACAAAUAUUUAAGCCUACCCAUUCAGCAUUUAGAAUCCAAAAUAAACCCCACUUUAUACUCUUUUCAAUUGAAGGAAAACCCCCCCCCCAAGAAUAAAAUAUUUUGAGGAAUAUUUAAAAAGGCAGACUAUUAUAUUUCCC
rnacentral:lncRNA from 1 species